rnacentral:misc_RNA from 1 species
AAGUCGUAACAAGGUUUCCGUAGGUGAACCUGCGGAAGGAUCAUUAACACGUAUCCAAACAAAAAAGAAAACCCCCCCUGUGAGCAUUUGCUUGCUCUUGCAGCCCGCCUGGCUAGAAAAUCCCUGGUAAAUCAUCGUGAACUAGUUUGAUUCAGGGACCGUCUUGUUGGGUGAGAGCCAUAGCUGCAAUCGAGAGAUCGUGGCAUUUCCAAGCCUUCUCCGUAAAGUCCCCUGCGUACGUGAAAGUGGUAUUGGAGUGUACUGGAGAACCCUUCUGGAUGAUGGACGGCCACCACGGCCGGUCGCUGCGCUUGUGGGCGUUCGUGCCCCCCAGUAUCCCGCUACCAGUCGAAACGACCAACCUGCGCAACCAUUGCGUGUUGAGCCCGUGGGCGUCGAAAUACUUGAACUGUUAACAAUGGAUAUCUUGGUUCUC